UACGUAGGGGGCCAGCGUUGUCCGAAGUUACUGGGCGUAAAGGGUGCGUAGGCGGGUCUUUAUGUCAGGGGUGAAAUCCUGGAGCUCAACUCCAGAACUGCCUUUGAUACUGAGGAUCUUGAGUUCGGGAGAGGUGAGUGGAACUGCGAGUGUAGAGGUGAAAUUCGUAGAUAUUCGCAAGAACACCAGUGGCGAAGGCGGCUCACUGGCCCGAUACUGACGCUGAGGCACGAAAGCGUGGGGAGCAAACAGG
rnacentral:rRNA from 1 species